ACAUAAAUAACCAUCCAGCUGCAUCACUCGACCAAGCACCUCAUGGCAUCUUUAGAGUCUUCUCAAAUCCGCACUCAACCAGACAAGCUAA
rnacentral:sRNA from 1 species